rnacentral:tRNA from 2 species
GGUCGCUUGGCGCAGCGGGAGCGCAAGUGCCUUACAAGCACUGGGUCGGGGGUUCAAAUCCCUCAGCGACCACCA